rnacentral:rRNA from 1 species
GACGAACGCUGGCGGCGUGCUUAACACAUGCAAGUCGAACGGUAAGGCCUCUUCGGGGGUACACGAGUGGCGAACGGGUGAGUAACGCGUGAGUGACCUGCCCUUGACUUUGGGAUAACAGUUGGAAACGGCUGCUAAUACCGAAUAUUCAGAUUCUGCUGCAUGGUGGGGUUUGGAAAGCUUUUGCGGUUGAGGAUGGACUCGCGUCCUAUCAGCUUGUUGGUGGGGUAAUGGCCUACCAAGGCUUCGACGGGUAGCCGGCCUGAGAGGGCGACCGGCCACAUUGGGACUGAGAUACGGCCCAGACUCCUACGGGAGGCAGCAGUGGGGAAUAUUGCACAAUGGGCGCAAGCCUGAUGCAGCAACGCCGCGUGCGGGAUGACGGCCUUCGGGUUGUAAACCGCUUUCAGCAGGGACGAAGCGUGAGUGACGGUACCUGCAGAAGAAGCACCGGCUAACUACGUGCCAGCAGCCGCCGUAAAC